GCACAAUAGCGCAGUGGUAAGGCGUCAGCCUAUCACGCUGAAGGCCCGGGUUCGAUUCCCGGUGGAGGCA
rnacentral:tRNA from 1 species